AUGUAACAGGGUUAAAAAGAGUACUUAAUUUAAGAGUUUUGAUGUGUGAAUUUCAUAAAAUAAGCAUUUGGUUAAAUUCAUUGGUGUUCAAAGGCUCCCCUCCUGUGGCUAUUAAUGGUACUGCAGACAGUGUAUUUUGUCGCUCUUCUCUUGCCGUACUCCAGCAGAUUUGAGUGUCGCUGCUGUGGUCUUGAAUGUCUGCAGUAGUUUAUCUUCAGCCAAAGUGAUUUGUGCCAUUUUAUUUCCAAAAGAUAAAGGCAAGCACAAGGAAACCCACGUGUGAGUGUGUUUGUUCACGUCUGUU